rnacentral:rRNA from 1 species
AGCGGAGGAAAAGAAACUAACAAGGAUUCCCCUAGUAACGGCGAGUGAAGAGGGAAGAGCCCAAGAUUGAAAGCUGGCGUCUUCGGCGUCCGCAUUGUAAUCUCAAGAAGUGUUUUCCGCUUCGGACCAUGCCUAAGUCCCUUGGAAAAGGGCAUCAUAGAGGGUGAUAAUCCCGUACAUGGCAUGGAGCGCCCGAGGCUUUGUGAUACACUUUCUAAGAGUCGAGUUGUUUGGGAAUGCAGCUCAAAAUGGGUGGUAAAUGCCAUCUAAGGCUAAAUAUUGGGGAGAGACCGAUAGCGAACAAGUACAGUGAUGGAAAGAUGAAAAGAACUUUGAAAAGAGAGUUAAACAGUACGUGAAAUUGCCAAAAGGGAAGGGUAGGAGGUCAGAGAUGCGUCUUGGGAUUCAGCCUUGCAUUUUUGCAUGGUGUUUUUCCCAAGUUGCAGGCCAACGUCGGUUUUGGGCACUGGAGAAGGGUGGAAGGAAUGUGGCACCUCUCGGGGUGUGUUAUAGCCUUCCACUGGAUACAGCGACCGAGACCGAGGACAGCAGCGUACUCGCAAGAGCGGGCCUUCGGGCACCUUUACGCUUAGGGCGUUGGCAUAAUGGCCCUCUACCACCCGUCUUGAAACACGGACCAAGGAGUCU